rnacentral:rRNA from 1 species
CAAUAGCGUAUAUUUAAGUUGCUGCAGUUAAAAAGCUCGUAGUUGGAUUUCGGGUGGGAAUGGCCGGUCCGCCGUUUCGGUGUGCACUUGCUACGCCCACCUUGCUGCCGGGGACGUGCUCUUGAGUUCACGCUCGGGACACGGAGUCGGCGAGGUUACUUUGAGUAAAUUAGAGUGUUCAAAGCAGGCCUACGCUCUGAAUACAUUAGCAUGGAAUAACACGAUAGGACUCUGGCCUAUCUUGUUGGUCUGUAGGACCGGAGUAGUGAUUAAGAGGGACAGUCGGGGGCAUUCGUAUUUCAUUGUCAGAGGUGAAAUUCUUGGAUUUAUGAAAGACGAACUACUGCGAAAGCAUUUGCCAAGGAUGUUUUCAUUAA